rnacentral:rRNA from 1 species
CCAGACUCCUACGGGAGGCAGCAGUGGGGAAUAUUGCACAAUGGGGGAAACCCUGAUGCAGCAACGCCGCGUGAGUGAAGAAGUAUUUCGGUAUGUAAAGCUCUAUCAGCAGGGAAGAAAAUGACAGUACCUGACUAAGAAGCCCCGGCUAACUACGUGCCAGCAGCCGCGGUAAUACGUAGGGGGCAAGCGUUAUCCGGAUUUACUGGGUGUAAAGGGAGCGUAGACGGCUGCGCAAGUCAGAAGUGAAAGCCCGGGGCUCAACCGCGGAACUGCUUUUGAAACUGUGUAGCUAGAGUGCAGGAGAGGUAAGUGGAAUUCCUAGUGUAGCGGUGAAAUGCGUAGAUAUUAGGAGGAACACCGGUGGCGAAGGCGGCCUGCUGGACGAUGACUGACGUUGAGGCUCGAAAGCGUGGGGAGCAAACAGGAUUAGAUACCCGUGUAGU